AGUGAACGCUGGCGGUAGGCCUAACACAUGCAAGUCGAACGGCAGCACAGUAAGAGCUUGCUCUUACGGGUGGCGAGUGGCGGACGGGUGAGGAAUACAUCGGAAUCUACUUUUUCGUGGGGGAUAACGUAGGGAAACUUACGCUAAUACCGCAUACAACCUACGGGUGAAAGCAGGGGAUCUUCGGACCUUGCGCGAUUGAAUUAGCCGAUGCCGGAUUAGCUAGUUGGCGGGGUAAAGGCCCACCAAGGCGACGAUCCGUAGCUGGUCUGAGAGGAUGAUCGGCCGCACUGGAACUGAGACACGGUCCAGACUCCUACGGGAGGCAGCAGUGGGGAAUAUUGGACAAUGGGCGCAAGCCUGAUCCAGCCAUACCGCGUGGGUGAAGAAGGCCUUCGGGUUGUAAAGCCCUUUUGUUGGGAAAGAAAAGCAGCAGGUUAAUACCUCGCUGUUCUGACGGUACCCAAAGAAUAAGCACCGGCUAACUUCGUG
rnacentral:rRNA from 1 species